GGCUGCGCGCUGCGGCGAGGAGCGCCGUGGCUGGCAAAGGGUUCUCAUUCUGUAGGCGGUGGAAGCCCUUCCGGGCGGAAGAGAGUGGAGCUGCUGACCCAGGUCUCCCGGAGUUCGGGGGGAAAGAUGCCGGGGUUUGAGACGCAGGAUUCCCUGUUAGCUAUGGGUCCGCUGUUUCCUGGAGGCUGGUCUCAACUCCUUAUGGAGCUAAGGAAGACCCUGGACUUUCGAUCUUCCUGCCUUUACUACCGAGUGCUGAGAUUGCUGUGUAGGCUACUUACUGUGCCAGGUGUAUGUGGUGCUAGGGAUCAAACCCAGGGUUUUAUGUUUGCUAAACAAGCAUUCAAAUAAUUGAGCUACAUCCUCGGUCCUAAAAAUGUACCUAAUAAACGCAGAGAUGAA